GAAGAGGGAAACAACCCAGACCGCCAGCUAAGGUCCCAAAGUCAUGGUUAAGUGGGAAACGAUGUGGGAAGGCCCAGACAGCCAGGAUGUUGGCUUAGAAGCAGCCAUCAUUUAAAGAAAGCGUAAUAGCUCACUGGUCGAGUCGGCCUGCGCGGAAGAUGUAACGGGGCUAAACCAUGCACCGAAGCUGCGGCAGCGACGCUGAUGCGUUGUUGGGUAGGGGAGCGUUCUGUAAGCCUGCGAAGGUGUGCUGUGAGGCAUGCUGGAGGUAUCAGAAGUGCGAAUGCUGACAUAAGUAACGAUAAAGCGGGUGAAAAGCCCGCUCGCCGGAAGACCAAGGGUUCCUGUCCAACGUUAAUCGGGGCAGGGUGAGUCGACCCCUAAGGCGAGGCCGAAAGGCGUAGUCGAUGGGAAACAGGUUAAUAUUCCUGUACUUGGUGUUACUGCGAAGGGGGGACGGAGAAGGCUAUGUUGGCCGGGCGACGGUUGUCCCGGUUUAAGCGUGUAGGCUGGUUUUCCAGGCAAAUCCGGAAAAUCAAGGCUGAGGCGUGAUGACGAGGCACUACGGUGCUGAAGCAACAAAUGCCCUGCUUCCAGGAAAAGCCUCUAAGCAUCAGGUAACAUCAAAUCGUACCCCAAACCGACACAGGUGGUCAGGUAGAGAAUACCAAGGCGC
rnacentral:rRNA from 1 species